rnacentral:rRNA from 1 species
AUGGAGAGAGAGGCAGAGGCGCGCCACCAGCUGCUGCUCCACGGCGUGAGCCUCGACCUGCGUCUCGACACGGCCACGCACCAGCACGGCGGCGCGCGCCCGGCGUCCCCUGCUACUCCCGCGGCGCUCCACAACGCCGGCAGGGAGGCCUUCUCCUGCAACUACUGCCACCGCAAGUUCUUCAGCUCUCAGGCGCUCGGCGGCCACCAGAACGCGCACAAGCUCGAGCGCACCCUCGCCAAGCGCAGCCGCGACGUCCCCUCCCCAGCCUUCGCCACGGCGACUGCUUCCUCUUCCACGGCCGCCCACAGCUGGCUCCACGCCGGCGGCGGGGAGCUCUGGGGGUACUCUGCUUCGGCCCCUGCUCCGGACUCCACGACGAUGGCGCCACUGAUGCGCAUGGGGAUGGGCUGGGCUGGCACCGCAGCGGCCGCCGGGGAGGCGGUGCCGGAGAUGGACCUGUCGCUCAAGCUCUGA